GGGGUGCAGCAGGCGCGAAAACUUUACAAUGCCGGCAACGGCGAUAAGGGAACCUCGAGUGCCAGGUUACAAAUCUGGCUGUCGUGAUGCCUAAAAAGCAUUGCAUAGCAAGGGCCGGGCAAGACCGGUGCCAGCCGCCGCGGUAACACCGGCGGCUCGAGUGGUAACCGUUAUUAUUGGGUCUAAAGGGUCUGUAGCCGGCCGGGUAAGUCUCUUGGGAAAUCUGGCAGCUUAACUGUCAGGCUUUCAGGAGAUACUGCCUGGCUCGAGGCCGGGAGAGGUGAGAGGUACUUCAGGGGUAGGGGUGAAAUCUUGUAAUCCUUGAAGGACCACCAGUGGCGAAGGCGUCUCACCAGAACGGACCUGACGGCAAGGGACGAAAGCUAGGGGCACGAACCGGAUUAGAUACCCGGGUAGUCCUAGCCGUAAACGAUACUCGCUAGGUGUCGGCCACGGUGCGACCGUGGUCGGUGCCGUAGGGAAGCCGUGAAGCGAGCCACCUGGGAAGUACGGCCGCAAGGCUGAAACCUAAAGGAAUUGGCGGGGGAGCAC
rnacentral:rRNA from 1 species